AUUGAACGCUGGCGGAAUGCUUUACACAUGCAAGUCGAACGGCAGCACGGACUUCGGUCUGGUGGCGAGUGGCGAACGGGUGAGUAACAUAUCGGAACGUAUCCAAUAAUGGGGGAUAACGAGUCGAAAGAUUCGCUAAUACCGCAUACGCCCUACGGGGGAAAGCUGGGGACCUUCGGGCCUGGCGUUAAUGGAGCGGCCGAUAUCUGAUUAGCUAGCUGGUGAGGUAAAGGCUCACCAAGGCGACGAUCAGUAGCUGGUCUGAGAGGACGACCAGCCACACUGGAACUGAGACACGGUCCAGACUCCUACGGGAGGCAGCAGUGGGGAAUUUUGGACAAUGGGCGCAAGCCUGAUCCAGCCAUUCCGCGUGAGUGAAGAAGGCCUUCGGGUUGUAAAGCUCUUUCGCAAGGGAAGAGAACUUAGCCACUAACAUUGGUUGAGGUUGACGGUACCUUGAUAAGAAGCACCGGCUAACUACGUGCCAGCAGCCGCCGUAA
rnacentral:rRNA from 1 species